UACGUAGGGAGCAAGCGUUAUCCGGAUUUACUGGGUGUAAAGGGCGCGUAGGCGGGAUGGCAAGUCAGAUGUGAAAUCCAGGGGCUCAACCCCUGAACUGCAUUUGAAACUGUCGUUCUUGAGUACUGGAGAGGUUGACGGAAUUCCUAGUGUAGCGGUGAAAUGCGUAGAUAUUAGGAGGAACACCAGUGGCGAAGGCGGUCAACUGGAUAGCAACUGACGCUGAGGCGCGAAAGCGUGGGGAGCAAACAGG
rnacentral:rRNA from 1 species